rnacentral:tRNA from 1 species
GGGAUUUUGGUCUAGUGGUAUGAUUCUCGCUUCGGAUGUGAGAAGUCCCGGGUUCGAUUCCCGGAAAUCCCC